AAAGGAAUUGACGGGGACCCGCACAAGCAGCGGAGCAUGUGGUUUAAUUCGAAGCAACGCGAAGAACCUUACCAGGGCUUGACAUGCCCCUGACCGCAUUAGAGAUAAUGCCUUACCUUCGGGUACAGGGGACACAGGUGGUGCAUGGUUGUCGUCAGCUCGUGUCGUGAGAUGUUGGGUUAAGUCCCGCAACGAGCGCAACCCUUGCCUUUAGUUGCUAACAGUAUGGCUGAGCACUCUAGAGGGACUGCCGAUGAUAAAUCGGAGGAAGGUGGGGAUGACGUCAAAUCAUCAUGCCCUUUAUGUCCUGGGCUACACACGUGCUACAAUGGUCGGUACAACGAGUAGCAACCUAGCGAUAGGAAGCCAAUCUCUUAAAGCCGAUCCCAGUUCGGAUUGCAGGCUGCAACUCGCCUGCAUGAAGUCGGAGUUGCUAGUAAUCGUGGAUCAGAAUGCCGCGGUGAAUGCGUUCCCGGGUCUUGUACACACCGCCCGU
rnacentral:rRNA from 1 species